UUACAGGGUUAAAACAGAAACCACAGGGUUAAGUUUAGGUAUUCAUUCAGAGUGGUUAAGGUUAGGUAUUCAUUCAGAGUGGUUAAGGUUAGGUAUUCAUUCCGAGUGGUUAAGGUUAGGUAUUCAUUCAGAGUGGUUAAGGUUAGGUAUUCAUUCAGAGUGGUUAAGGUCAGGUAUUGAUUCAGAGUGGUUAAGGUUAGGUAUUCAUUCAGAGUGGUUAAGGUUAGGUAUUCAUUCAGAGUGGUUAAGGUCAGGUAUUGAUUCAGAGUGGUUAAGGUUAGGUAUUCAUUCAGAGUGGUUAAGGUUAGGUAUUCAUUCAGAGUGGUUAAGGUUAGGUAUUCAUUCAGAGUGGUUAAGGUUAGGUAUUCAUUCCGAGUGGUUAAGGUUAGGUAUUCAUUCAGAGUGGUUAAGGUUAGGUAUUCAUUCAGAGUGGUUAAGGUCAGGUAUUGAUUCAGAGUGGUUAAGGUUAGGUAUUCAUUCAGAGUGGUUAAGGUUAGGUAUUCAUUCAGAGUGGUUAAGGUUAGGUAUUCAUUCAGAGUGGUUAAGGUUAGGUAUUCAUUCAGAGUGGUUAAGGUUAGGUAUUCAUUCAGAGUGGUUAAGGUUAGGUAUUCAUUCAGAGUGGUUAAGGUUAGGUAUUCAUUCAGAGUGGUUAAGGUUAGGUAUUCAUUCAGAGUGGUUAAGGUCAGGUAUUGAUUCAGAGUUGUUAAGGUUAGGGCUAUGGUUUGGGUAAGGCGUAAAACAAAAUAAUUAAAAACGAUCAUCAAGUAUUCUCAUGUCUUACUAGAGCAUUGUGAACUGUGGAGGAGCAGUCUUCCAAGCAGCGCGCUCCGGCUCCGAGCUUCGUGAGUUCAUGCCUGGUUAUUCCUUUAAAUGAUUUGUUGUUUUGAGUGCCUGAAGAAGGCAUAGAGUAUAUCAAUGUUCUCAGGAAAUGUUCAAACAUCCAAAAUCGCUGUCUAUUUCUAGUGAUUCAUCUACUGUUUCCUCUCCUCUCCUCACCUCUGCCAUUGUGUGUGUGUGUGUGUGUGUGUGUGUGUGUGUGUACAUGCCUGUGUCAGUGGGUGGUUGCAUCCACAAAGCCCUCAAACUAUCCCUCACAAGUACCCACAGCUUCAGCCAGCCAGUCCUCACGUCGCAUAAUCAUUUGAUAGGAUCAGGGUAUUCUGCCCUGGUCUCUGUGACACCAUGAUCUUUCAGUGAUGCCAUCAGCCAGCCAGACAGUCACAGUGUGAUAUUUGGAUAAUUUUACCUUUAUUUAACUAGGCAAGUCAGUGAAGAACAAAUUCUUAUUUUCAAUGACGGCCUAGGAACAGUGGGUUAACUGCCUUGUUCAGGGGCAGAAAGACAGAUUUGUACAUUGUCAGCUCGGGGAUUUGAACUUGCAACCUUUCGGCUGCGAGUCCAACGCUCUAACCACUAGGCUACCCUGCCGCCCCCACGUGUCUACUGCCAUCCCCCACAUCUCAGCCUAGGGAGUUAACGCGAGUCUUCAGUUCUCAGUCGAGUUUCGCCAAACCACCUCCUUUACACAAACAUGAGGUUGCCGGGAGCAACACAGUUCAGAUGACCUCGUCCACCUUUCAUACACUCGCCUGCUGCUCAGCUCUAAUGCUCUGUUUAGCCAUCCACUCUUCAUCCUCCACUUUGGCUCCAUCCCUCACUCCAUUGAGGAGAGAUAAUAGAUGUCAGCCGUAUAGAUGACGCAGCAUGACAGGGGACAGAGACAACCACAGUAAGAGGUUGUUCAGUCAGUCGGAUGGUUGAAAUCUAUCGAAGUAGC